AUUGAACGCUGGCGGCAUGCCUUACACAUGCAAGUCGAACGGCAGCACGGGAGCAAUCCUGGUGGCGAGUGGCGAACGGGUGAGUAAAGCAUCGGAACGUGCCCAGUCGUGGGGGAUAACGUAGCGAAAGCUACGCUAAUACCGCAUACGAUCUGUGGAUGAAAGCGGGGGACCGUAAGGCCUCGCGCGAUUGGAGCGGCCGAUGUCAGGUUAGGUAGUUGGUGAGGUAAAGGCUCACCAAGCCGACGAUCUUUAGCUGGUCUGAGAGGACGACCAGCCACACUGGGACUGAGACACGGCCCAGACUCCUACGGGAGGCAGCAGUGGGGAAUUUUGGACAAUGGGCGCAAGCCUGAUCCAGCAAUGCCGCGUGCAGGAUGAAGGCCUUCGGGUUGUAAACUGCUUUUGUACGGAGCGAAACGGCUUCCACUAAUACUGGGGGCUAAUGACGGUACCGUAAGAAUAAGCACCGGCUAACUACGUGCCAGCAGCCGCCGUAACAC
rnacentral:rRNA from 1 species